ACCUGCCCUAUGAUGUAUUAAAUGGCCGCGAUAUUUUGAUCGUGCAAAGGUAGCAUAAUCAUUAGUUUUUUAAUUAGGAACUGGUAUGAAAGGUUGAACGAGAAAAAAACUGUCUCAAUUUAAUUUAAUUAGAAUUUUAUUUUUAAGUUAAAAAGCUUAAAUAAUUUUAAAAGACGAGAAGACCCUAUAGAGUUUUAUAUUUAAUGGUUUAUGAAAAAUAUAGUAUAUAAAAUUUCAUUUAUUUAUUUAAGUAUUUGGUUGGGGUGAUUGAAAAAUUAAAUAAACUUUUUUUUAAAAUAGAACAUUUAUAUAUGAAAUAUUGAUCCAUAAUUUUAUGAUUAAAAGAUUAAAUUAC
rnacentral:rRNA from 1 species